UUUCAUGUUUAUAGUGUGUGUUUAAUAUUAUUUCAUUCUUUUAAUGUGAUUUUGUACAUAUUUAACUUAAUUAUAGUAUAAACAAAUAUAUGAGAAACACGGUAUCGACCAAGAAGAUGUUAUGAUAAAUUAAACUGAAUCGAAGCUAAAUAACUUAAAAGACGAACUCAAAACAUUAUAAUUUCAUAAUGAAAUUAUUAAUUUUCAAUGAUAUGGAAUAUUGAACUCAAGUUCUUCGAGCAGCCGUACAAGUAGAGAAAGAGCGGGAAAGAAGACCACGAUAUAAUAAAGUGCUCGACAAUGCAUUUAACAAUAAUUUUCCUGGUGUUCGCAGUAUUAUGUACGUCUACAAUUGCCCAAAAAGUAAUAAAAUAUUGCUAUGAAUGCGAGGCCAUGUUACCCAAGAUGAGUGCAAGAAGACCAGACACCUGUGAAGGCGGAAUGUUCAAGAGCUAUAUCCCAAUGAAAGUCCAAUGUGAAUAUGCAUGUCUUAAGGUCGCUGAUGAACAUCCCUCAUAUACAACAUAUCGUCGAGGAUGCGCCAAUAAAAUGGAAGCAGAGUACAUGGGUUGUAGAUACAAUAAGAAACCUAUGAAUCAAUCGUUAACAACUUGCACUUGCGAACAGGAUUUAUGCAACCGAGCGUUAAUGUUUAACAGUCCUGUACUAAAAUUUGUCUCUGGCGUUGUUGCAUUUUUCUAUAUUAUGUAAACAUGUAAAGUUUUUUAUUACAAUUGGGAAGUAUUAGUCUAAUGAUUAACAAAAAAAAAAAAAAUGUAUUUGAAUUUACAUUCAAUCUGUAACUAUAAAACUAAUUAUAAUAAUA